rnacentral:rRNA from 1 species
UACGUAGGGGGCGAGCGUUGUCCGGAUUUACUGGGCGUAAAGGGUGAGUAGGCGGUUGUAUAUGUCAGGUGUAAAAGGCUAUGGCUUAACCAUGGUUAGCACUUGAAACUGUACAACUUGAGUGCAGGAGAGGUAAGUGGAAUUCCUAGUGUAGCGGUGAAAUGCGUAGAUAUUAGGAGGAACACCAGUGGCGAAGGCGACUUACUGGACUGUAACUGACGCUGAGUCACGAAAGCGUGGGUAGCAAACAGGAUUAGAUACCCCUGUAGUCCCU